rnacentral:rRNA from 1 species
AUGACCCCUUGGCAGCAAAAAGCAUUUACCAAACUCCUCGGUCUUCGGUACACCAUCAAGUACAUGAAGGGGACAGAAAAUGUGGGUGCGGAUGCUCUUUCCCGUGCCACCCACACUGAGCAAUUGCAAGCAAUAUCAUCUUGUGGACCCAGUUGGAUGGAAGACAUCAUUGCUAGCUACAACUCAAACCCGCAAGCCCAGAAAUUGCUGGAACAGUUAGCCAUUAGAGAAAAUCCAAAAGGAUGCUUCACUCUUGAGCAAGGCAUCUUACGAUUUAGAGGACGCAUCUGGCUAGGUGGCAGCACAUCAAUGCAACAACAGGUGAUCAAGGCGUUUCAUGAUAACCCCCUUGGAGGACAAUCGGGCUUUCCAGUAACAUGGCGCCGAGUACGCCGCCUCUUUGCUUGGGCCAAAAUGAAAACACACAUUCAGCACUAUGUGCAUUGCUGUCCUACAUGUCAGCAGGCCAAGCCAGACCGUGCCGCUUACCCUAGGCUGCUCGAACCCCUACCGGUGCCCAAGGAAUCCUGGGGGAUGAUCACAAUGGAUUUCAUUGACGGGCUCCCAACUUCUAGAGGUGUGAACUACAUUUUGGUGAUCGUCGAUAAGCUGACAAAAUUUGCUCACUUUCUGCCCCUAGCACACCCUUAUACAGCCUCCAAAGUAGCACUGCUCUACAUGAACCAAGUCUACAGGCUAUAUGGAUUUUCGGGGUCGAUUGUGUCUGACCGUGAUUCGAUGUUCAUGAGUCAUUUUUGGCAAGAGCUCUUCAAGUAUGCAGGCACGUGUCUCAGAAUGAGUUCAGCCAACCACCCGCAGACGGAUGGCCAGACGGAAAGGGUCAAUCAGUGCCUGGAAACCUUCCUCCGAUGCUUCACGCACGCGUGCCCCCGUCGAUGGAGCUACUGGAUUCCUCUUGCACAGUUCUGGUACAACUCUUCCCAUCUUUCUGCCAUUGGGAUGUCACCAUUUCGUGCUAUGUAUGGGCAUGAACCACGGCAAUGGGGGAUUACUACAAUGACGGCUUGUUCAGUACCGGCCCUUCAUUCCUGGCUGGAUGAACGCGCCGUCGUGCAAGACCUUCUCCAACAGCAUCUACACCGAGCGAGACAGUGCAUGAAGCAACAUGCUGACAAAAAACGAACAUUCCGGGCCUUUGAGGUGGGCGACUCAGUUUAUCUCAAGCUGCAACCUUACAUCCAAACUUCAGUGGCUCCCCGCGCCUGUCACAAGCUGGCCUUCCGCUGCUUUGGGCCCUUCAAAAUUAUUGGGCGGAUCAAUGAAGUGGCCUACAGGCUUCAUCUACCACCUCAUGCGCAAGUGCACCCUGUCUUGAGCUUCCAACUUAUUCUGCCAUACCUUCAGUGCCCGUGGUAG